rnacentral:rRNA from 1 species
GAUGAACGCUAGCGGCAGGCCUAAUACAUGCAAUUCGAACGGUGUCUUCGGACAUAGUGGCGCACGGGUGUGUAACACGUAUGCAACCUACCUAACAUUGGGGGAAAGCUAUUCGAAAGGGUGAUUAAUACCGCAUAAUACAUUAGCAGGGCAUCCAGCAGCUGUUAAAGAUUUAUCGAUGUAUGCUGGGCAUGCGUCCAAUUAGCUAGUUGGUGAGGUAACGGCUCACCAAGGCAAUGAGUGGUUGGGGAACUGAGAGGUCAAUCCCCCACACUGGCACUGAGAUACGGGCCAGACUCCUACGGGAGGCAGCAGUAGGGAAUAGUGGGCAAUGGACGCAAGUCUGACCCAGCCAUGCCGCGUGCAGGAUGAAGGCGUUAUGCGUUGUAAACUGCUUUUAUACAGGAAGAAACGACUCUUGCGAGAGGCAUUGACGGUACUGUAUGAAUAAGCACCGGCUAACUCCGUGCCAGCCGCCGCCGUAACAC